GGGCGCGGCCGGCGGGGCGGAAGGGUGCGGGGUCGCGGAAGCGAGCUGGCGGCGGGAGGCGGCUCCCCGCGUUGCACCUGUCUGCGCCGCUGGGGCGAAUCGGCUGCCAGGGCCGCCCCUGCCGGAAGGAGUCCGGCAGGGUUCUUGAAGAGGAGGGAAAGGCGUCAGGGUCCACGCCUCCCCCGAGUUGUGUUUAGAAACUGAAGCCUGUGCAAGUCCGUCGGUACAGUCAAGAUGGGGAACUCUGGCAGAAAGAAUGUUCUGGCCUGUGUGGAAUAACUCUGUCUCUGCCAAAGGAUAAACCUAAAAUCUGCUUUCUUGGAAACCAGCUAAUGUCUUUAGGGAGCAUGACCUUAAGGAUUUGGACCUUCAAAUAAAAGGGAGUUUCAGUAACAGAUGGCAUGUUCCACCCCAGGAGUGACUGUAGGAGAAAUGAGAGGAAAGGGGACGGACAGAACCAGGUGGAGAUGUGGUGCUUCAGGAUAUAGUGGGGCAAACAGAGACCUUUGUCUAGGAGGUGAGUGGAAAGUAGACGUUGAGCUCAUCUCCAAGGAAACCAGGGCAGAAGAGCGCUGUGGCUGGACUCUGCUGAGUCCAGCACUGAGCACCGAGGCUGAGGAGUGCCAAGCAGCACCAGUCUGGAAACUGCAAGAUUCAAGAGCAAAAUGGCACAAUGUCACGUUUCCUGUUUGAAGGUGCUCAGCUCUUGCAAAGCCAUCUUUCUUUCCUCAACACCAUUCCCAGUUUGUGGCAAUUCUUUGAAUAAAUCCUCCAGUGCAAAAACAGUUUUACGCACCUACUGUCUACCAGUCACAUAUAUCCAUAUAUGAUUUCAUUUAGUGCUCACAGUGGUCCUACAAGGUUUUAUUAUUUUCAUUUCAUAGAUGGGUGUGCUGAGUCUCAGAAGAGUUAAGUAAUUUGCCCAUAGAGUUUGGAAGUAGGGGAGCCAGGUGUAUCUGUUGUUGCCAAAGCCCCCGUGGAUUCCACUCUAAAAAGCUACCUUUGAUGUGAAGUCAGAUCAAAUUAAAAUGAUGUCAAAAUGGUAAGACUUGUCAAGCCUUCCAAGAAGCAAUAAGGAGAGGACCAGGUAAGGAACAGUGAGCGGAGAUCUCUAAAUCUCUGAAUGUGGGUAUUUACAAAUCCUGAAAUCGUUGGCUUUGCUAGGCUUCCCUGCAGUCUGAGAUCCCAGUGCAGCCGUGGUACCCUCUAGUGGACAUUUCCCAGAUUCACACAGCUUCCCUGGCUCCAGUGCCCAAGAGCUGGGAGGGAAGCCUUCACCCAGACACUGGAGAGGGUCCCAAAGAACGGUCAUCUGGAAGAUACAAGUUUAUGUGUCAGAGUCCAUGGUGGGUAGAGAAGAAAUGCAGACUGGGGGUGGGGUGUGUGUGCUGAGCACUUGGUUCACGGGGCCCCAAGGGGAGUUCUUGUCAGUAUAUAAAUGUGCUCAGGGAGGGCAUUGUGUAUUAAUAGGAGCUCAAUACACAUCACAUGUGACUGUAGGCUUUUAGGGCUCUAGAGUGGAUUUUUUUAAUAGGGAAAAUUAGUGAUCAGAGAUAUGAAGUACCUUGUCUAAGGCCACAGGGUAAAUUGAUGUCAACAAUGGUAGGACUGGAAAUUUUGUCUCCUGCCUCCCAACCCAGAGGACUUCCCACUGCAUCACACUCCCUUAAUUGUGGGUUGAUUGAUUUUAGCCAUAAACUGGUGUUGCAUAUAAGGAUAUGAAGUUGUAGGUAAAAUUAGGGAAUUGUUUUUGCUUUUUUCUGCCCACAAUCUAUAUACUUUAUCCUUUCAUUCACCACAUUUAUAGAGUGCCUAGUAUUGCCAAAUACUACUCUAGGCAUUGUUUUCCAAGUUUGUGGAUCCUUUUAAAAGGGACUCCAGCACAUGAGACCAGGCUCUCAGGCUCCUGCCCCAUGCCUACAGCCCUCCAGGCACCCCUGGGCUGCCUUCCUCAAGUCCCCAGAGCUAAUAUGCCAGAUUUAUUUUGGUCUCCUUCCUCCUACAGAGGUAAUCCCUGGGAAUGGAAGUGGGUUAGAAACAGAUUACUCUGAUCCAGGGCCUUUUUCCUCCCCUCCCUGAAUGUGGUGCAAGGGGAGAGGGAAAUCACAAAUAGCCUGAAGUUCCCUUUCAGGAUUAUUGCUUGAUUUAGCCAGCAAGAAGAGGCUAGGGAUUAAUUCUAGACCUACCAUGAACAGUGGAAUGCAUGGGCUUCUUUUCUGGCUGAACCAGAUGAGCAAUAUCUCUUUCUAGACAUACCUUCUAAAACAAGGAGUCUGAGGCAGGCAGGAAAAGGUCUUUGUGUUUAGCAGCAGGGAUGAGUAGAAGGAUCAUGAGAAAAAAGAGCAGCUAGUAGAAGAAAGCUGUGCAGCAUGGAAUUAGGGAAUCACAUUGGAGCUUGGAAACAACCUGCAUUUGGGUGGUCUUAGCUUCAACAGAGGUGAGAACUGCUCCCUAGGGGAAGAAAGCUAACACACAGGGCUUCUUGAGGAUUUUCAGUUCAUAUCCAGGCUCUCUUGCUUUAGGGGCACUGCACUGGAGUGGACUUGGGGUGGGAUGUUAUUCUGUGUCCAGCACAAAGAGCAGUUACAUUUACCAGGACUCUUCUAGGCUCUGUAUGAUAGCUCUUCCAGGUCUAUCACAGGGCUUGGAAGCAGUAGCCAUAACUAACCAGUGUGGGAAAACUCAUUUAAUGAGUUAUUAACAAUUUUGUGAGUUAGGUAUUUAAUUACCCCUUCCUAUAGGUGAGGAAAAGAAGUGGCAUUAAUAUGUAACCUCAGGCAUUGUAGCAUUCUCAGCCAGUGUGUGGGAGCCAUAGAAAGUCAACUCCAGGAUGGGAAAAGCAACACCACUAACAUUGUGAGCUAAGGGUCAGUUGAGAACAUUUCUUAGAAAGUCAGAAUUCCUGGUUUCUUCUAUGUCACCUUAUCUUCGACAGUUUACAUUUGCUUUUCAUGCCUUCGCUCAAGGUGGGGAAGUACAAUGUAAAUACAUGGCAAGCCUAUUACUUGCCUCAAUCCAAGGAUUAUACUGUUUUUUGUAAUUGAUGAACAUAUUGCAAUCAGAUUCUUCCAAUUCUCCAGAAGGAUUUUCCUGGUUCAAAUCAACUGUACU